rnacentral:rRNA from 1 species
UACGGAGGAUGCAAGCGUUAUCCGGAAUGAUUGGGCGUAAAGCGUCCGCAGGUGGUUGUGUAAGUCUGCUGUUAAAGAGUGAGGCUCAACCUCAUAAGAGCAGUGGAAACUACACAGCUAGAGUGCGUUCGGGGCAGAGGGAAUUCCUGGUGUAGCGGUGAAAUGCGUAGAGAUCAGGAAGAACACCGGUGGCGAAGGCGCUCUGCUAGGCCGCAACUGACACUGAGGGACGAAAGCUAGGGGAGCGAAUGGG